rnacentral:rRNA from 1 species
GACUGAGCGGCGGACGGGUGAGUAACGCGUGGGCAACCUGCCUCAUACAGGGGGAUAACAGUUAGAAAUGACUGCUAAUACCGCAUAAGCGCACAGGACCGCAUGGUGUAGUGUGAAAAACUCCGGUGGUAUGAGAUGGACCCGCGUCUGAUUAGGUAGUUGGUGGGGUAAAGGCCUACCAAGCCGACGAUCAGUAGCCGACCUGAGAGGGUGACCGGCCACAUUGGGACUGAGACACGGCCCAAACUCC